UCCACCUGAGUUGCCUCUUCAGUC
rnacentral:misc_RNA from 1 species